rnacentral:rRNA from 1 species
GACGAACGCUGGCGGCGUGCCUAAUACAUGCAAGUUGAGCGAUGAAGAUUGGUGCUUGCACCAAUUUGAAGAGCAGCGAACGGGUGAGUAACGCGUGGGGAAUCUGCCUUUGAGCGGGGGACAACAUUUGGAAACGAAUGCUAAUACCGCAUAACAACUUUAAACAUAAGUUUUAAGUUUGAAAGAUGCAAUUGCAUCACUCAAAGAUGAUCCCGCGUUGUAUUAGCUAGUUGGUGAGGUAAAGGCUCACCAAGGCGAUGAUACAUAGCCGACCUGAGAGGGUGAUCGGCCACAUUGGGACUGAGACACGGCCCAAACUCCUACGGGAGGCAGCAGUAGGGAAUCUUCGGCAAUGGACGAAAGUCUGACCGAGCAACGCCGCGUGAGUGAAGAAGGUUUUCGGAUCGUAAAACUCUGUUGGUAGAGAAGAACGUUGGUGAGAGUGGAAAGCCCAUCAAGUGACGGUAACUACCCAGAAAGGGACGGCUAACUACGU